UACAGGGGGGGCAAGCGUUAUUCGGAUUCACUGGGCGUAAAGGGUGCGCAGGCGGCCAGGUGUGUCAGGUGUGAAAGCCCGGAGCUUAACUCCGGAAUUGCGCCUGAAACUACUUGGCUAGAGCAUUGGAGAGGGUAGCGGAAUUCACGGUGUAGCAGUGAAAUGCGUAGAUAUCGUGAGGAACACCAGAGGCGAAGGCGGCUACCUGGACAAUUGCUGACGCUCAGGCACGAAAGCGUGGGGAGCAAACAGG
rnacentral:rRNA from 1 species